rnacentral:rRNA from 1 species
CGCCUCUUGAAUUUAUAUAAGAGGUCCAGCCUGCCCAGUGACUUUGUUCAACGGCCGCGGUAUCCUAACCGUGCGAAGGUAGCGUAAUCACUUGUCUUUUAAAUGGGGACUUGUAUGAAUGGCAUCACGAGGGUUAUACUGUCUCCUUUUUCUAAUCAGUGAAACUAAUCUUCCCGUGAAGAAGCGGGGAUAAUUUUAUAAGACGAGAAGACCCUAUGGAGCUUUAAACUUAAUAACAAAUACUAAUUCCAUUUUAACUUCCAGAACAUUAAUUUAAAUUUUAGUAUCAUGAUUAUUAGUUUUAGGUUGGGGUGACCGCGGAGUAAAAAUUAACCUCCACAUUGAACAGGACCUAUCCUUGAGCCAAGAGCUACAACCCUAAGCACCAACAAAUUGACAUUAAUUGACCCAAUAUUUUGAUCAACGAACCAAGUUACCCUAGGGAUAACAGCGCAAUCCACUUCAAGAGCUCCUAUCGACAAGUGGGUUUACGACCUCGAUGUUGGAUCAGGGUAUCCCAGUGGUGCAGCCGCUACUAAAGGUUCGUUU